CUAGUACCCUUAUCUACUUUUAACAUAUAACAAAUUUGACUUAGAACACUAUUGGCAUCCUGCGGCCCAAAGCCCAGAAACCAAACUGGCCGAGACCAGCUGGAUCCGUCCAGCCCACAAAUCCGGCGAAAUCCUGGGUUCGAAACCUAACCCAACCCGUUCAGCCAGGCACUGGCGCCCUGCACCAAACAGCGCCACGGCACGACAGACAGGGCAGCAGCUGCUCGACCACCUCCUCUGUCUCUCCCUUCGUCUCCCACCUCCCGCCCGCGCUCAGAUCCCUGCGAGCUUCGAGAGAGCGGCAGCAGCAGCCUCGCGUCCGCUCGAGGGCCAACAUGGCGGCCUUCACCAAGCUCGAGGAUUCCCCCAUGUUCCGCAAGCAGGUCAAUUCUUUGGAACAACUUACUGAUGAACUGAAAGAAUGGGGAUCGCUUGAUCGAAGGAUAUGCAGGGGAUCUUUCAUUUGCUGAUGCUCUG